GUGCUUGCUUUGGCAGCACAUAUACUAAAAUUGGAACGAUACAGAGAAGAUUAGUGUGGCCCCUGCUCAAGAAUGACACGCAAAUUUGUGAAGCGUUCCAUAUUAAA
rnacentral:snRNA from 1 species